AUGGGCAAGAUCAAGAUGCCGGCCCUCUUCCGCCGCCGCUCCUCCUCCAAGUCGCGCUCCGCGUCGCCGCCGCCUACUCCCCAGGAGGAAGAGGGCACCCGGCCGGCGUCGGGCGCGGGGUCCCCGGCGCGGUCGGCGGAGGAGGAGAUGGAGCGGGUGUUCCGCAAGUUCGACGCCAACGGCGACGGCCGGAUCUCGCGGCCGGAGCUGGCGGCCCUGUUCGAGAGCCUGGGCCACGCGGCCACGGAGGACGAGCUGACCCGCAUGAUGGCGGAGGCGGACGCGGACGGCGACGGCUUCAUCAGCCUGGAGGAGUUCGCGGCGCUCAACGCCACGGCGGCCGGCGACGACGAGGAGGACCUGCGGCUGGCCUUCAAGGUGUUCGACGCGGACGGCAGCGGCGACAUCUCGGCCGCGGAGCUGGCGAGCGUGCUCCACGGCCUCGGCGAGAAGGCGACGGUGCAGCAGUGCCGGCGCAUGAUCGAGGGCGUGGACAAGAACGGCGACGGCCUCAUCUCCUUCGACGAGUUCAAGGUCAUGAUGGCCUCCGGCUUGGCCGCCAAGAUGGCCUGA
rnacentral:rRNA from 1 species